GAAAUGCGAUAAGUAAUGUGAAUUGCAGAAUUCAGUGAAUCAUCGAAUCUUUGAACGCACCUUGCGCUCCUUGGUAUUCCUUGGAGCAUGCCUGUUUGAGUAUCAUGAAAUCUUCAAAGUAAAUCUUUUGUUAACUCAAUUGGUUUCUACUUUGGUAUUGGAGGUCUUUGCAGCUUCACACCUGCUCCUCUUUGUUCAUUAGCUGGAUCUCAGUGUUAUGCUUGGUUCCACUCGGCGUGAUAAGUUAUCUAUCGCUGAGGACACUGUAAAAGGUGGUCAAGGUAAAUGCAGAUGAACUGCUUCUAAUAGUCCAUUGACUUGGACAAUACUUUUAUGAUCUGAUCUCAAAUCAGGUAGGACUACCCGCUGAACUUAAGC
rnacentral:misc_RNA from 1 species